rnacentral:rRNA from 1 species
UACGUAGGGAGCAAGCGUUGUCCGGAUUUACUGGGUGUAAAGGGUGCGUAGGCGGCUUUGCAAGUCAGAUGUGAAAUCUAUGGGCUCAACCCAUAAACUGCAUUUGAAACUGUAGAGCUUGAGUGAAGUAGAGGCAGGCGGAAUUCCCCGUGUAGCGGUGAAAUGCGUAGAGAUGGGGAGGAACACCAGUGGCGAAGGCGGCCUGCUGGGCUUUAACUGACGCUGAGGCACGAAAGCGUG